CACACCAGAAGAGGCCGCGGCUGCCAAGCAAGAUGGAGCAAAAUCUGCUUCUGCUGCAUUAAAGUACAAUGCCAUCUCUCAGCAGGCAAAUGGUAAAGGUUCUUCUACCUCCCUAGGCAGGAAAGAAGCAGCCAAUACUUUAGCCGCCGCACACUAUGCCGCCACCGAGAAGUCCAUCAAGAAGGCCGAAACCACCAAGACACCUGCAAAGGUCGUGGCUGCCAAGCGAGACGCAGCAAAGUCUGUUGAUGAUGCAUUAAAGUAUGGUGCCAUCUCUCGGAAAGCAGCUGGUACAAGUUCUUCUACCUCCCCCAAUAAGAAAGAAGGCACCACUGAUGCUGCUAAGAUGUUCACCAAGAAGGCUGAAACCGCUACCACACCUGAAGAGGCCGCGGCUGCCAAGCAAGCUGCAGCCAAGUCUACCGCUGCUGCAUCAAAGUAUGGUGUCAUUUCUCAGCAAGUAGCUGGUACAAGUUCUUCUACCUCCCCUAGCAGGAAAGAAGCUGCCGGUACCUUGGCAGAUGCUCGCAUAGCUGCUGCCGAGAAGUCCAUCAAGAAGGCUGAAACCGCCACAAGACCUGAAGAGGCAGCAUCCGCUAAGAAGGAUGCCACAAAAUCCGAGGCUGAUGCAAUGAAGUACGGGGCCAUCUCUCAGCAGGCCGCCGGCAAAAAUGGUGCCUAAGUGGUGCCUUAAACACCUAUUCACACGCAACAUCAUCUACAUACUACCAUGCAUGCAAAAUAGCAGCAUUCAGAUACCACAUUAUGCUAAUUCUCAUGCAUGCACACUUUGUUUAAACGUUCCCAUUACGAAUCAUGUAUUAAUGUCUUGCUUGUUUUAUUUUUAGUAGUAAGACAUGCUUGACUUGCUUUAAAAAAAAUACAACAAUCGAUGUAUACAUGUAUUAUCUAAAAAUCAGUAAUAUGAGUUCCACCGCAAUUUGUUUCUUUUUGUCAUAAUUUGGGUGCAAUCAAUGCACACAUCCAAUACACAAAAUUGGACGACUCAAUGUGUUGUGGCUCCAUGGAGCGGCGAAUCAUGUUUUAUUGUCUUGCUUGUUUUACUUUUAGUAGUAAUGUCUUGCUGGUCAAUGUAUUAUGGCUCCAUGGAGCGGCAUAAUGAUAUAUGAUAUAUCUUCACUACUUCAAAAAGAACUUAAGGUUUCGUCAUACAUCUUUCCUUCAUCCAUCCUCCCUACGAAUCCUUCCUGUUUUGAUUUUUUUCUCCCAUCUUUGAUUUUUCUCCCCAUUGAUUCUACCUAAAAACCACCUCAAUGUCACAUGUUUACUGUAUAUGUCAAGGCCUCCUUUGGUUCAUAGGGUAGAAAAAAACAUAGGAAUAGGAAAGUCAUAGGAAAUGAGAUGACAUGUAUCUCAAAUCCUAUGAUUGGGAAUAGGAAAGGAGAUGCCCUUUGAUUCACAUCAUAGGAUUUUUUCAUUGAAUCUAGGCUAAUGUUUAUUUUCCUAUGAAAUGUGAAGGAGAGGAAGAAUUCCUCCAUAGGAUUAGGAUUCCAUUCCUACAAACCAAAGGACUCUAAAGGAAUUUUUUCUAUAGAAAUCCUAUCCUAUGAAAUUCUUACAAGAUUCCUCCAAAUCAAAGGAGGCCCAAGUGGUUGUGAUGAGACAGUGGCUGGGCACUUCAGAUUUAUUCCCGUAACUGACUGUCAAAUUGAGUCAUCUGUCGUCCUUUCGAUGAUUGUAAGAAAGUUAUAUGUUUACUGUAUGUGCCAAUUGGUUGUGAUUAUCGUUACCGGCCACAAAGUUAUAUUUUCUUGUCUUAACGAAGGGUUGCAUACAAUGCGUGUAGCUCUUGACGCCUGAUAACCCACAAGUAUAGGGGAUCGCAACAGUUUUUGAGGGUAGAGUAUUCAACACAAAUUUAUAGAUUCGACACAAGGGGAGCCAAAGAAUAUUUGUAAGUAUUAACAGCUGAGUUAUCAAUUCAACCACACCUGGAGAUUAAUUAUCUGCAGCAAAGUGAUCAGUAGCAUAGUAGUAUGAUAGUUUUGAUAGUAGUAGCAACAUCAACAGUAACGGUAAUAGUGGUAGCAAUGGUUUUGUAGCAGUGACAAUAGUAACAGCAGCAGUAGUAACUUAGCAAGAACAAUAUGUACGAAAAUCGUACGCAUUGGAUCGGUGAUUUGUUGGAUGAUAUUCAUCAUGUGACAGUUACAACCUAGGACGAUACGGCACUAGCUCCAGUUCAUAAAUAUAAUGUAGGCAUGUAUUCUAUAAAUAAUCAUACGUGCUUAUGGAAAGAACUUGUAUGACAUCUUUUGUCCUACCCUCCUGUGGCAGCGGUGUCCUAUUGGAAACUAAGGGAUAUUAAGGCCUCCUUUUAAUAGAGAACCAGAACAAAGCAUUAACACACGGUGAAUACAUGAACUCCUCAAACUACGGUCAUCACAGGGAAGUGUCCCGACUAUUGUCACUCCGGGGUUGCCGGAUCAUAACACGUAGUAGGUAACUAUAACUUGCAAGAUUGGAUCUAGAACAUAGAUAUAAUGGUGAUAACAUAAGUCAUAGCAACAUCAAUCUCAGAACAUAAUGGAUACUCGGGAUGAAGCCCUAACAAAACUAACUCAAUUACAUGAUGAAUCUCAUCCAACUCCUCACCGACCAGCGAGCCUACGAAGGAAUUACUCACUCCUGGUGGGGAGCAUCAUGGAAUUGGCGAUGGAGAAGGGUUGGUGAUGACGAAGAUCGAAGACCCCCCUCUCUGGAGCCCCAAACGGACUCCAAAUCUAGCCUCCCGAUGAAGAACAGGAGAUGACGGCGGCUCUGUCUCGUGGAUCGUGAUAAUUCUUUCUUCCUGAUUUUUUCUGGAAAAAUAGGAUUUUAUAGCGUCGGAUUCAGGGCCUGCGGGGCCACCAGGUGGGGACAACCCACCUGGGUGUGCUUGGAGGGGGGGGGCCUGGUGGGUUGUGCCCAUCCAGGUGCCCCCCUCCGGUUGUUCUUGGCUCCAGAAAUUCUCUGUAUUUGUAUAAAAAUUCCUCGCAAAGUUUUGUUCCAAUCCGAAAACUUUUAUUUCUGCACAAAAAAAACACCAUGGUAGUUUUGUUGGAAACAGCGUCAGUCCGGGUUAGUUUCAUUCAAAUCAUGCAAAUUAGAGUGCAAAACAAGAGGAAAGUGUUAGGAAAAGUAGAUACGACGGAGAUGUAUCAACUCCUCCAAGCUUAAACCUUUGCUUGUCCUCAAGCAAUUCAGUUGAUAAACUGAAAGUGAAAAAAAAAUUACGAACUCUUUUGCUCUUGUUUUCAUAAAUAAGCUUAAACAUCACCCAGUGUCGAUGUCAAAACCGGCGGAUCUCGGAUAGGGGGUCCCGAACUGUGCGUCUAGGCGGAUGGUAACAGGAGACAAGGGACACGAUGUUUACCCAGGUUCGGGCCCUCUCGAUGGAGGUAAAACCCUACUCCUGCUUGAUUAAUAUUGAUGAUAUGGGCAGUACAAGAGUAGAUCUACCACGAGAUCAAGGAGGCUAAACCCUAGAAGGUAGCCUAUGGUAUGAUUGUUGUUGUCCUACAGACUAAAACUCUCUGGUUUAUAUAGACACCGGAGAGGGUUAGGGUUACACAGAGUCGGUUACAAUGGUAGGAGAUCUACAUAUCUGUAUCGCCAAGCUUGCCUUCCACGCCAAGGAAAGUCCCUUCCAGACACGGGAAGAAGUCUUCAAUCUUGUAUGUUCAUAGUCCGGGAGUCCGGCUGAAGGUAUCGUCCGGCUAUCCGGACACCCCCUAAUUCAGGACUCCCUUAGAGCCCCCGAACCAGGCUUCAAUGACGACGAGUCUGGCACGCAAAUUGUCUUCGGCAUUGCAAGGCGGGUUCUCCUUCAAUUUCUGUGUACCUGCUGAAUAAUGUCCGGUUUCUUAUAAAUGUAGCGCUCCUCGGCUUCCACGCCCAAUAAUGGCCGUCUUCCACGUGUCAAAUGAAUACGAAAAGUCUGGGUGUUUUUACAUUCACACCCCCAGCCGCGUAAAUGAGCCGCCUAUUUAAAGGGACGGGGAUUUAGAUCCAAACCACACCUUCUCCUCUCCGCGAGUUUCAUCAGAGCGCAUCCGACAAAGGACCGUUCCAUCAUGGCCAGCCGUCGCAGCUCCUCCUCUCGCCCUUCCAGCCCUCAUCCUGGAGAUUGGGAGAGAUGCUCCGUCCCGCACAGCGAGCUAGUGUCGCUUCGGACCAAAGGGAUUUCUUCCUCCGGCCUAUAUGGUCCCGGUUCGAGCCGGACUUGCCACCUAUAAUGGCGGAGAGCAAGUGGAGAGCGCCCCCAAUCCCUCCAAAGGAGAGCGGGUAUGCCUUGUCCCUUAUUUAAUAAGAGGGCUCGGAUUUCCAAUUCAUCCAUUUCUCCGGGGGCUCCUGGAGUUCUAUGGCCUCCAGCUGCACAACCUCACGCCUGUCUCCGUAUUGCAUAUUGCGGGCUUCGUAGCCCUUUGCGAGUUGUUUUUGGGUGUUGAGGCUCAUUUCGCGCUGUGGAAGAGGCUAUUCUGCCUUGUGCCCUGUUCUUAGGAGGGGUCAAUAUAUCAAGUGGGCGGAGCCAAAGUGUGGUGUAUCGCCGGGACCGGAUAUCUAUCCGGAACCCCAAAGAAGGCGUCUGAGGACUGGCCUUCAGAAUGGUUUUAUAUAGAGGACGUCCCGUUGCCGGAUCCUGUUCGGAUCGGCCUCCCUGAGUUCAACAGCGCUCCCCUAAAGAAAAACCUAAGCUGGCGCCCACGGAGCCCUCAGAGAGAAAGUGACAAGGACAUUCUUUACCUGAUGGGCCGGAUAAGAUUAUUAGCUCAUUCCGGACUAACCAUGAUCGGAGUCAUGGCUGCAUGCAUCAUGCGAGGGGUGCAACCGCUUCAGUACAGAGGCCACCCCAUGUGGGACUUCAACGGGGAGGAUGAUGCCACCCGUCACGGCCGUAAGGGGCCGGACUCGGCUACCGCUCUAGUAAAGAUCUUGUCCGCUUUGUACAAGGGAGAAGAGGAGGAAUUUCUCCGCGUCAACCCACAGGGUGGAUUUACCAUGUACAAUCCCCCAAGUUGGGUAAGUGGGCAAUUUUACUUGCACGUCUGUUUUGUAUUCCCAUCAUUAAAUAUAUAGUCUAACGACUUCAACGCAGGAACUGCGCCUGGAAGUAAAGGACAUAAAUAGCCCGCCUCCACAGCCCGAGGACCCAGAGUUGUCCCUCGAUCCGGCCUCCGAAGAGGAUCCGGACUUAUCCAUGGAGUUAAUUGAUGGGGUGUUUUAUCAAUUGAGCAAGGACAAUGCCUUGGUGGCCAUUAAGGCCGAUUACCCGGGGCUGCUCCCGGCCUCCCAGGUAACUGAGACCGAAGUCCUAGCACCUCAAAAAGGGAUCCGCCCUCGCGUGUUUUUCAGUUUCCUGACAACAACCGUGUUUUGCAGGGGAGGUUCUUGAGACGGGAGGCCGAGCCUGCGGCGACUAGCCAACGAGGGGCUACAGGGCCCCGUGGGAUGAAAAGAAGUGCAGUCCGGAUUGAGGCGCCGGCGCAGAGGUAUAGCACGCCUUCUUAUUCCCAGGUGUUAUUCCUUCAAGGCAUAUUAACACUCGUGCUCUUUUCAGGACAAAAAGACCCCGCCGGACUAUAUCUGGAGAGGCUGCCAAUCGCGCCUCCACCAGCCAGGCUCCAAAGCCUGGUCCGGAGACGGAGGCGAACACGAGGCGCGCACCGGACGCUCCUCCAACAGAGGAUGCGGACAGGCUGUCCGCCACUAAUUCCGAGGUGGAGAGUGCCAUGAACCACAGGCGUCGCCGGACAGUUCUUCGCGACGCUUGUUUCUCCCAAGAGGCAUUGGACGCCUUCAAUUCGGGAGAUGCGUACCUCCGUGCCGCUCAAAAUGGUCUAGCCAGAGCCACGGAGCAAUAUGUAAAAGACAUACAGGUGAGAAAAUUUAAUGGUUAUAUAUAUCAGUAGCCCCCGAGACUUGAAACAGUUAGAAGAACUGAUUUAAGGAUCAUUCAUAAUGCAGGUUCUUGCGGAAAAGAAUACCCAACUGUCCCAGGAGCUAGAAGAGUGCAAAGCCCAACUUGAGGCCGCACUAGCCGCGACAGGGGAGCCCAAGGAGACCCCCUCUGGUAAUAUGUGCUUCAAAAAGAGAAGUAUUUUGUGAAGUGCGGCGUUUGUGCAAAUCUGACAAAUGAAAUUGCAGAUGGCGCCGGAUUAGAUCCGGAAAAGCAACAACUCCUACGCCAGCUAAAGGCUGGUGAGAGCGUGCUGACAAAGGUGAGGUGGGAGAAGAACGAUCUCCAAUAUGCCAACACCAAGCUGGGCGUUGAACUGAAAGAUGUUUGUGCCCAGCUGUCGGACUCCGCUAAGGAGAAUCAGCGGCUUCGACGCGGCAUAUUUAGUAAGUGCUUAAACGAACUUUGAAUAAAGAGUUCGACGAGGAAGUCGACUAACGGAGUAAUGUCUGUAGGUAUGCUAACAGGUCGUCCUGCAGAGGAGAUGCCCGGUUCUAUGGGUGACCUUCUUCCCGAGCUCUUGCAACUGCACGAGCGAGUUCGGCAGGUGAUGCAGGGCGUCGCCCAGGCCUUGUGGCCAUCCAUCUCCAUGCCCGAAGGACUUGGAGAGCUUGCAGAGAAGCUGAAGGGAGCGCGGCGGCGCUUCUGAUUGUGGAAGAUAUCGGCCUGCGUCAAGGCGCUAGGGAGGCAUGGGCCAUGGUGAAGACGCGGUACACGAAGGCUGACCCAAACCACAUGGCCGAGGUCGGACCUGUGGGGCCCGAUGGGAAGGAGAUCCCUGUAAGCUUCGUAUACGGCUAAGUAGAAUUGGCCGCAAAGUAUUCCCAGCAGGACUGUAAGCUAGACAGCCUGUUAGAUGGUAUUGAAGAGGAAUACAAUCAGUCAUAAUGACUAUGUAAUUUUAAUUGACAUGUGUAAUGCCUUCUAGCCAGAUUGUAGAUCAUUUUUCAUGGCCGACCUUUUUGCUUCGACCUCGGGACCUGCGGUCUGGAGUGUGUCCGAAUACCCUUGCGGUUAUAUAAGAACCGGGGUAUGCAUGGAGACUAGGCGUAGGGGUCAUUAGUGCUUGAACAGACAAGUGCCCGACUAGUUAUGUUAUAUUACAUGGUUAGUAAGAAACAUCUUCCAGGGAGAAUAGUUCCGUUAGGGGUUCCUUUCCCUGGGAGGCAUGCCCUAAAGUGCAUGUCCAUUCUGCGAAAAAGAGACGCAGGAAAAAACAUCUGGGGGCGCAUAGAUAAAUAAGUGAAAAAAUCAUCUUUAGUUCACCGACCGAAUAUUUCCUUAAGAACGCUAGCUUUCGGCUUCACCCAGUCUGAGGUACACAUCGGGCUGACCCGGCAGUAACAAUCGCAGAGGUGCUCCCUUUACCACCUAGCCGAACAAUCGGGAACAUAGGGGUAAGCACAGGAGCCAGGCAACCCAGCUUGGCCAAAAAUUAAGUCAUAUCGAUGCAUAUGAUGGUGAAUAAAAGGUACAUGCGGAAGUGUGACACAUGUGUUGGGCAUGAAGCCCGUAUAAGCUUCUGUUCAAAGAAGCCCCCAGGUUUAGUGAGCGUGGAUAGCGCGUCACUUGAUGAGCCUUUAAAGGCUAUAAGAGAAAGGAGGGGGAGAAGGAGAAAAUGGAAGACAGAAAAUAUAAAAAAUGGACAGAGGAAGGAGACGAACAUAGAGUCCGGCGCUAGGCAUAGAAUCUUCGGAGACGGGCUGCGUUCCAUGGGUUCGGUUCGAGUCGGUUAUCCGAUGCAUCUCGCAGGCGGUAUGCUCCACCAGUCAGGACUUGGUCAAUUAUGAAGGGACCUUCCCACUUGGGCUGGAGUUUGUCCUUUUUCUUGUCCGGCAGGCGUAGAACUAGUUCGCCAACAUUGUAAUUUUUGGCCCGUACUUCUCUGCUUUGAUAUCUUCGAGCCUGCUGUUGAUAGAAUGCGGAACGGGCUUUUGCCACGUCACGCUCCUCCUCCAAGGCAUCUAAACUGUCCUGCCGAUCGAGCUCGGCUUCUCUUUCUUCGUACAUGCGCACUCAAGGUGAGUCAUGAAUUAUAUCGCAGGGCAAAACUGCUUCUGCACCGUACACCAUGAAGAAUGGUGUGUAUCCGGUGGUGCGAUUCGACGUGGUCCGCAGCCCCCAGAGUACGGAGUCGAGCUCCUCUACCCAGUGCGUGUUAGAUUCCUUAAGGUACCGCACUAAUCUGGGUUUGAUGCCGCUCAUGAUAAGACCAUUUGCGUGUUCGACCUGUCCGUUAGUUUGUGGGUGAUAGACGGAAGCAUAAUCGAGCUUGAUGCCCAUGUUUUUGCACCAGAGUUUUACCUCAUCGACCGUAAAGUUCGUACCGUUAUCAGUGAUGAUGCUGUGGGGGACGCCGUAACGGUGUACGACCCCCGAUAUAAAGUCUAUCACCGGUCCGGAUUCGGCCGUCUUAAUAGGCUUGGCCUCUAUCCAUUUGGUGAACUUAUCCACCAUGACCAGUAAGUAUUUUUUCUUCUGGGUUCCGCCUUUAAGGGGUCCAACCAUGUCAAGCCCCCAGACCGCGAAGGGCCAAGUGAUGGGGAUAGUUUGGAGGGCGGUGGGUGGCAUAUGGCUUUGGUUUGGCAAAAGCUGGCAACCGACGCAUCGUUGGACUAAGUCCUGAGCGUCUGCCCGGGCCGUUGGCCAAUAAAAGCCUGUACGGAAAGUCUUGCUUACGAGGGACCGAGUUGCGGUGUGAUGACCAUCGAGUCCGGCAUGAAUUUCAGCCAGCAAGUUCCGCCCAUCCUCCUCGGAGAUGCACCUUUGAAGGACUCCGGUAGUGCUUUUCUUAUAAAGCUCUCCCUCAUGGACUUUAUAGGCUUUAGAUCGCCGCACUAUGCAGCGUGCCUCAUUUUGGUCUUCUGGGAGUUCCUGCCUAGUAAGGUAGGCUAGGAAUGGUUCUGUCCACGGGGCGAUGACCGCCAUUAUUACGUGGGCUGAAGAUGUGACUUCAUUGGCAGAAUCUCCAAUUAUGUCAGUGUUGGGUAACGUAGCAGAAAUUCAAAAUUUUCCUACGUGUCACCAAGAUCUAUCUAUGGAGAAACCAGCAACGAGGGGAAGGAGAGUGCAUCUACAUACCCUUGUAGAUCGCUAAGCGGAAGCGUUCAAGAGAACGGGGUUGAAGGAGUCGUACUCGUCGUGAUCCAAAUCACCGAUGAUCCUAGUGCCGAACGGACGGCACCUCCGCGUUCAACACACGUACAGCCCGGUGACGUAUCCCACGCCUUGAUCCAGCAAGGAGAGAGGGAGAGGUUGAGGAAGACUCCAUCCAGCAGCAGCACAACGGCGUGGUGGUGGUGGAGGAGCGUGGCAAUCCUGCAGGGCUUCGCCAAGCACCACGGGAGAGGAGGAAGGAGAGAUGCAGGGCUGCGUCAUAUAGAAGAGAGGAACUCGCGUCUUAUGAGCAGCCCAAACCUCAACUAUAUAUAGGGGAAGGGGAGAGGCUGCGGCCCCUUUAGGGUUUCCACCCCUAGGGGUGGCGGCCAGCCUAGAUCCCAUCUAAGGGAGGCGGCCAAGGGGGAGGGGGAGAGGGAGGCGCACCAGGAUGGGCCUUAGGGCCCAUCUGCCCUAGGGUUUGCCCCCUUCUCCUCUCCCUUGCACCUUGGGCCCUUGUGGGGGGGGGGGCGCACCAGCCCACCUGGGGCUGGUCCCCUUCCACACUUGGCCCAUGAAGCCCUCCGGGGCUGGUUUGCCCCACUUGGUGGACCCCCGGGACCCUCCCGGUGGUCCCGGUACGUCACCGAUAAACCCCGAAACUUUUCCGGUGACCAAAACAGGACUUCCCAUAUAUAAAUGUUUACCUCCGGACCAUUCCAGAACUCCUCGUGACGUCCGAGAUCUCAUCCGGGACUCCGAACAACAUUCGGUAACCACAUACAAACUUCCUUUAUAACCCCAGCGUCAUCGAACCUUAAGUGUGUAGACCCUACGGGUUUGGGAGACAUGCAGACAUGACCGAGACGUUCUCUGGUCAAUAACCAAUAGCGGGAUCUGGAUACCCAUGUUGGCUCCCACAUGUUCCACGAUGAUCUCAUCGGAUGAACCACGAUGUCAAGGACUUAAUCAAUCCCGUAUACAAUUCCCUUUGUCUAUCGGUACGAUACUCGCCCGAGAUUCGAUCGUCGGUAUCCCGAUACCUUGUUCAAUCUCAUUACCGGCAAGUCUCUUUACUCGUUCCGUAACACAUCAUCCCGUGAUCAACUCCUUGAUCACAUUGUGCACAUUAUGAUGAUGUCCUACCGAGUGGGCCCAGGGAUACCUCUCCGUCACACGGAGUGAUAAAUCCCAGUCUCGAUUCGUGCCAACCCAACAGACACUUUCAGAGAUACCCGUAGUGUACCUUUAUAGCCACCCAGUUACCUUGUGACGUUUGGCACACCCAAAGCACUCCUACGGUAACCGGGAGUUGCACAAUCUCAUGGUCUAAGGAAAUGAUACUUGACAUUAGAAAAGCUUUAGCAUACGAACUACACGAUCUAGUGCUAUGCUUAGGAUUGGGUCUUGUCCAUCACAUCAUUUUCCUAAUGAUGUGAUCCCGUUAUCAACGACAUCCAAUGUCCAUGGUCAGGAAACCGUAACCAUCUAUUGAUCAACGAGCUAGUCAACUAGAGGCUUACUAGGGACAUGGUGUUGUCUAUGUAUCCACACAUGUAUCUGAGUUUCCUAUCAAUAUAAUUCUAGCAUGGAUAAUAAACGAUUAUCAUGAACAAGGAAAUAUAAUAAUAAUCAAUUUAUUAUUUCCUCUAGGGCAUAUUUCCAACAGUCUCCCACUUGCACUAGAGUCAAUAAUCCAGUUCACAUCGUUAUGUGACUAACACUCAAGGUCACAUCCCCAUGUGACUAACACCCAAAGAGUUUACUAGAGUCAAUAAUCUAGUUCACAUUUACCAUGUGAUUAACACUCGAUGAGUUCUGGGUUUGAUCAUGUUAUGCUUGUGAGAGAGGUUAUAGUCAACGGGUCUGAACCUUUCAGAUCCGUGUGUGCUUUACAAAUCUCUAUGUCAUCUCCUAGAUGCAGCUACCACGCUCUAUUUGGAGCUAUUCCAAAUAACUGUUCUACUAUACGAAUCCAGUUUACUACUCAGAAUAAUCUGGAUUAGUGUCAAAGUUUGCAUCGGCGUAACCCUUUACGACGAACUCUUUUACCACCUCCAUAAUCGAGAAAAUUCCUUAGUCCACUAGUUACUAAGGAUAACUUUGAUCGCUGUCCUGUGAUCCAUUCUUGGAUCACUCUUGUACCCCUUGACUGACUCAUGGCAAGGCACACUUCAGGUGCGGUACAUAGCAUAGCAUACUGUAGAGCCUAUGUCUUAAGCAUAGGGGACGACCUUCGUUCUUUCUCUCUAUUCUGCCGUGGUCAAGCUUUAAGUCUUAACUUCAUACCUUACAACUCAGGCAAGAACUCCUUCUUUGACUGAUCCAUCUUGAACACCUUCAAGAUCAUGUCAAGGAAUGUGCUCAUUUGAAAGUACCAUUAAGUGUUUUGAUCUAUCCUUAUAGAUCUUGAUGCUCAAUGUUCAAAUAGCUUAAUCCAGGCUUUCCAUUGAAAAAACACUUUCCAAAUAACCCUAUAUGCUUUCCAGAAAUUCUACGUCAUUUCUGAUCAACAAUAUGUCAACAACAUAUAUUCAUCAGAAAUUCUAUAGUGCUCCCACUCACUUCUUUGGAAAUACAAGUUUCUCAUAAACUUCGUAUUCACCCAAAAUCUUUGAUCAUCUCAUCAAAGCAUACAUUCCAACUCGAGAUGCUUACUCCAGUACUUAGAAGGAUUGCUGGAGCUUUGCAUACUUAUUAGCAUAUUUCAGGAUUGACAAAACCUUCCGGUUGUAUCACAUACAACCUUUCCUCAAAAAUCAUCGAGGAAACAAUGUUUUGACAUCCUAUCUGCAAGAUUUCAUAAAUGAUGCAGUAAUUGCUAAUAUAAUUCCAACAGACUCUUAGCAUCGCUACGAGUGAGAAAGUCUCAUCGUAGUCAACUCCUUGAACUUGUCGGAAAACAUCUUAAUGACAAGUCGAGCUUUCUUAAUGGUGAUACUUACCAUCAUUGUCCGUCUUCCUUUUAAAAUCCAUAUGUACCUAACAGCCUUACGACCAUCAAGUUGUUCUUCCAAAGUCUACACUUUGUUUUCACAUAUGGAUCCUCUCUCGGAUUAUAUGGCCUUGAGCCAUUUUGGAAUCCAGGCCCACCAUUGCUCCUCCAUAGCUCGUAGGUUCAUUGUUGUCUAGCAACAUGACUUCCAAGACAGGAUUACGUACCAUUCUAAAGCAGUACACAUCCUUGUCAUCCCACGAGGUUUGGUAGUGACUUGAUCUGAAGUUUCAUGAUCACUAUCAUAAGCUUCCACUUCAAUUGGUGUAGGUGCCACAGGAACAACUCCCUGUGCCCUGCCACACACUAGUUGAAGAGAUGGUUCAAUAACCUCAUCAAGUCUCCACCAUCCUCCCACUCAAUUCUUUCGAGAGAAACUUUUCCUCGAGAAAGGACCCGAUUCUAGUAACAAUCCCUUAUUGCUUUCGAAUCUGAGACAGGAGGUAUACCCAACUGUUUUGGGUGUCCUAUGAAGAUGUAUUUAUCCGCUUUGGGUUCGAGCUUAUCGACCUGAAACUUUUUCACAUAAGCGUCGCAGCCCCAAACUUUUAAGAAAUGACAGCUUAGGUUUCUCUAAACCAUAGUUCAUACGGUGUCAUCUCAUCGGAAUUACGUGGUGCCCUAUUUAAAGUGAAUGUGGUUGUCUCUAAUGCCUAACCCAUAAACUAUUGUGGUAAUUCGAUAAGAGACAUCAUGGUAUGCAUCAUAUCCAAUAGGGUGCAGUUAUGAUGUUCGGACACACCAUCACACUAUGGUGUUCCAGGCUGUAUCAGUUGUGAAACAAUUUCCACAAUGUCUUAAUUCUGUGCCAAACUCGUAAUUCAGAUAUUCAUCUCUAUGAUCAUAUCAUAGAUAUUUUAUCCUCUUGUCACGAUGAUCUUUCAACUUCACCCUGAAAUUACUUGAACCUUUCAAUAAUUCAAACUCAUGAUUCAUCAAGUAAAUAUACUCAACAUCUACUCAAAUCAUCUGUGAAGUAAGAACAUAACGAUAUCCACUACAUUCCUCAGCACUCAUUGGACUGCACACAUCAAAAUGUAUUACUUCCAACAAGUUGCUUUCUAGUUCCAUUUUACUGAAACCGAGGCUUUCAGUCAUCUUGCCCAUGUGGUAUGAUUUGCAUGUCUCAAGUGAUUCAAAAUCAAGUGAGUCCAAAUGGUCCAUUUGCAUGGAGUUUCUUCAUGCAUAUACACCAAUAGACAUGGUUCGCAUGUCUCAAACUUUUCAAAAAUGAGUGAGCCCAAAGAUCCAUCAACAUGGAGCUUCUUCAUGCGUUUUAUACUGAUAUGACUUACGUGGCAGUGCCACAAGUAGGUGGUACUAUCAUUACUAUCUUAUAUCUUUUGGCAUGAACAUGUGUAUCACUACGAUCAAGAUUCAAUAAACCAUUCAUUUUAGGUGCAAGACCAUUGAAGGUAUUAUUCAAAUGAACAGAGUAACCAUUAUUCUCCUUAAAUGAAUAGCCGUAUCGCGAUAGACAUAAUCCAAUCAUGUCUAUGCUCAACGCAAACACCAAAUAACAAUUAUUUAGGUUUAACACCAAUCUCGAUGGUAGAGGGAGCGUGCGAUGCUUGAUCAUAUCAACAUUGGAAACACUUCCAACACAUAUCGUCAGCUCACCUUUAGCUAGUCUCCGUUUAUUCCGUAGCUUUUAUUUCAAGUUACUAACACUUAGCAACCGAACCGGUAUCUAAUACCCUGGUGCUACUAGGAGUACCAGUAAAGUACACAUUAACACAAUGUAUAUCCAAUAUACUUCUAUCGACCUUGCCAGCCUUCUCUUCUACCAAGUAUCUAGGGUAAUUCUGCUCCAGUGGCUGUUCCCCUUAUUACAGAAGCACUUAAUUAGUCUCGGGUUUGGGUUCAACCUUGGGUUUCUUCACUAGAGCAGCAGCUAAUUUGCCGUUUCAUGAAGUAUCCCUUCUUGCCCUUGCCCUUCUUGAAACUAGUGGUUUCACCAACCAUCAACAAUUGAUGCUCCUUCUUGAUUUCUACUUUUGUGGUGUCAAACAUCGCGAAUAUCUCAAGGAUCAUCAUAUAUGUCCCUGAUAUAUUAUAGUUCAUCACGAAGCUCUAGCAGCUUGGUGGUAAUGACUUCGGAGAAACAUCACUUUCUCAUCUGGAAGAUCAACUCCCACUCGAUUCAAAUGAUUGUUGUACUCAGACAAUCUGAGCACAAGCUCAACAAUUGAGCUUUUCUCCCUUAGUUUGCAGGCUAAGAAAAUUGUCGGAGGUCUUAUACCUCUUGACAUGGGCACGAGCCUGAAAUCCAAAUUUCAGCCCUCGAAACAUCUCAUAUGUUUUGCGACGUUUCAAAACGUCUUUGGUGCCUCAACUCUAAACCGUUUAACUGAACUAUCACGUAGUUAUGAAAAUGUGUAUGUCAGAUGUUCGCAACAUCCACAGACAACGUUCGAGGUUCAGCACACUGAGCGGUGCAUUAAGGACAUAAGCCUUCUAUGAAGCAAUGAGGACAAUCCUCAGUUUACGGACCUAGUCCGCAUAAUUGCUACUAUCAACUUUCAACUAUUUUUUUUUCUCUAGGAACAUAUCUAAACAGUAGAACUAAAGCGCGAGCUACGACAUAAUUUGCAAAAUCCUUUUGACUAUGUUCAGGAUAAACAAGUUCAUCUUAUGAACUUCCACUCAGAUAGAUAUCCCUCUAGUCAUCUAAGUGAUUACAUGAUCCGAGUCAACUAGGCCGUGUUCGAUCAUCACGUGAGACGGACUAGUCAUCAUCGGUGAACAUCUUCAUGUUGAUCGUAUCUACCAUACGACUCAUGCUCGACCUUUCGGUCUCUUGUGUUCCGAGGCCAUGUCUGUACAUGCUAGGCUCAUCAAGUCAACCUAAGUGUUUCGCGUGUGUAAAUCUGUCUUACACCCGUUGUAUGUGAACGUUAGAAUCUAUCACGCCCGAUCAUCACGUGGUGCUUCGAAACGACGAACUUUCGCAACGGUGCAUAGUUAGGGGGAACACUUUCUUGAAAUUUUAAUGAGGGAUCAUCUUAUUUACUACUGUCGUUCUAAGCAAAUAAGAUGUAUAAACAUGAUAAACAUCACAUGCAAUCAAAUAGUGAUAUGAUAUGGCCAAUAUCAUAGUGCUCCUUUUGAUCUCCAUCUUCGGGGCUCCAUGAUCAUCAUCACCGGCAUGACACCAUGAUCUCCAUCAUCAUGAUCUCCAUCAUCGUGUCUUCAUGAAGUUGUCUCGCCAACUAUUACUUCUACUACUACAGCUAACUGUUAGCAAUAAAGUGAAGUAAUUACAUGGCGUUGUUUAAUGACACGCAGGUCAUAUAAUAAAUUAAGACAACUCCUAUGGCUCCUGCCGGUUGUCAUACUCAUCGACAUGCAAGUCGUGAUUCCUAUUACAAGAACAUGAUCAAUCUCAUACAUCACAUAUCAUUCAUCACAUUCUUCUUGGCCAUAUCACAUCACAUAGCAUACCCUGCAAAAACAAGUUAGACGUCCUCUAAUUGUUGUUUGCAUGUUUUACGUGGCUGCUAUGGGUUUCUAGCAAGAACGUUUCUUACCUACGCAAAACCACAACGUGAUAUGCCAAUUGCUAUUUACCCUUCAUAAGGACCCUUUUCAUCGAAUCCGAUCCGUCUAAAGUGGGAGAGACAAACACCCGCCAGCCACCUUAUGCAACUAGUGCAUGUUUGUCGAUGGAACCGGUCUCACGUAAGCGUAUGUGUAAGGUUGGUCCGGGCCGCUUCAUCCCACAAUGCCGCCGAAUCAAGAUUGGACUAGUAACGGUAAGCAUAUUGAACAAAAUCAACGCCCACAACUACUUUGUGUUCUACUCGUGCAUAGAAUCUACGCAAUAGACCUAGCUCAUGAUGCCACUGUUGGGUAACGUAGCAGAAAUUCAAAAUUUUCCUAUGUGUCACCAAGAUCUAUCUAUGGAGAAACCAGCAACGAGGGGAAGGAGAGUGCAUCUACAUACCCUUGUAGAUCGCUAAGCAGAAGCGUUCAAGAGAACGUGGUUGAAGGAGUCGUACUCGUCAUGAUCCAAAUCACCGAUGAUCCUAGUGCCGAACGGAUGACACCUCUGCGUUCAACACACGUACAGCCCGGUGACGUAUCCCACGCCUUGAUCCAGCAAGGAGAGAGGGAGAGGUUGAGGAAGACUCCAUCCAGCAGCAGCACAACGGCGUGGUGGUGGUGGAGGAGCGUGGCAAUCCUGCAGGGCUUCGCCAAGCACCACGGGAGAGGAGGAAGGAGAGAUGCAGGGCUGCGUCAUAUAGAGGAGAGGAACUCGCGUCUUAUGAGCAGCCCAAACCUCAACUAUAUAUAGGGGAAGGGGAGGGGCUGCGACCCCUUUAGGGUUUCCACCCCUAGGGGUGGCGGCCAGCCUAGAUCCCAUCUAAGGGAGGCGGCCAAGGGGGAGGGGGAGAGGGAGGCGCACCAGGAUGGGCCUUAGGGCCCAUCUGCCCUAGGGUUUGCCCCCUUCUCCUCUCCCUUGCGCCUUGGGCCCUUGUGGGGGGGGGCGCACCAGCCCACCUGGGGCUGGUCCCCUUCCACACUUGGCCCAUGAAGCCCUCCGGGGCUGGUGGCCCCACUUGGUGGACCCCCGGGACCCUCCCGGUGGUCCCGGUACGUUACCGAUAAACCCCAAAACUUUUCCGGUGACCAAAAUAGGACUUCCCAUAUAUAAAUCUUUACCUCCGGACCAUUCCGGAACUCCUCGUGACGUUCGGGAUCUCAUUCGGGACUCCGAACAACAUUCGGUAACCACAUACAAACUUCCUUUAUAACCCCAGAGUCAUCGAACCUUAAGUGUGUAGACCCUACGGGUUCGGGAGACAUGCAGGCAUGACCGAGACGUUCUCCGGUCAAUAACCAACAGCGGGAUCUGGAUACCCAUGUUGGCUCCCACAUGUUCCACGAUGAUCUCAUCGGAUGAACCACGAUGUCAAGGACUUAAUCAAUCCCGUAUACAAUUCCCUUUGUCUAUCGGUAUGAUACUCGCCCGAGAUUCGAUCGUCGGUAUCCCGAUACCUUGUUCAAUCUCGUUACCGGCAAGUAUCUUUACUCGUUCCAUAACACAUCAUCCCGUGAUCAACUCCUUGAUCACAUUGUGCACAUUAUGAUGAUGUCCUACCGAGUGGGCCCAGAGAUACCUCUCCGUCACACGGAGUGACAAAUCCCAGUCUCGAUUCGUGCCAACCCAACAGACACUUUCGGAGAUACCCGUAGUGUACCUUUAUAGCCACCCAGUUACGUUGUGACGUUUGGCACACCCAAAGCACUCCUACGGUAACCGGGAGUUGCACAAUCUCAUGGUCUAAGGAAAUAUUGACAUUAGAAAAGCUUUAGCAUACGAACUACAUGAUCUAGUGCUAUGCUUAGGAUUGGAUCUUGUCCAUCACAUCAUUCUCCUAAUGAUGUGAUCCCGUUAUCAACGACAUCCAAUGUCCAUGGUCAGGAAACCGUAACCAUCUAUUGAUCAACGAGCUAGUCAACUAGAGGCUUACUAGGGACAUGGUGUUGUCUAUGUAUCCACACAUGUAUCUGAGUUUCCUAUCAAUACAAUUCUAGCAUGGAUAAUAAACGAUUAUCAUGAACAAGGAAAUAUAAUAAUAAUCAAUUUAUUAUUGCCUCUAGGGCAUAUUUCCAACAGUCAGAUUGUUCGGUGUUGGGCAGUGCGGUUGAGUCCGGGCUGUUAUUGCCGGGUUCCCCUUCCCAUACUACGGACGGCUUGAAUAGCCUUUCCAAGAAGAUGUUGGGAGGGACUGCAUCGCGUUUUGCGCCGAUGCGUGCCAGGACAUCCGCCGCCUGAUUAUUUUCCCGGGCUAUAUGGUGAAAUUCGAGCCCUUCGAACUGAGCUGACAUUUUUAAGACGAUGUUGCGAUAAGCUGCCAUUUUUGGAUCCUUGGCAUCGAAGUCUCUGUUUAUUUGGGACAUUGCGAGGUUCAAAUCCCCUCGCACUUCUAGGCGUUGAAUACCCAUGGAUACUGCCAUCCAGAGACCAUGUAAGAGGGCCUCGUAUUCGGCUGCAUUGUUGGAGUCUGUGUACAUAAUCUGGAGUACAUAUUGAACUGUGUCUCCUGUGGGGGACGUCAAAACGACGCCAGCCCCCAGACCGGCCAACAUUUUGGAGCCGUCGAAAUGCAUGAUCUAGUUUUAAUAUGUGCCGUACUCUUCAGGGAGUUCGGCCUCCGUCCAUUCUGUGACGAAGUCAGCCAAAACUUGCGACUUGAUAGCUCGCCGUGGCUUAUAAGUUAUGUCGAACGGGAGGAGCUCGAUGGCCCAUUUCGCAAUCCGGCCCGUUGCGUUGCGGUUCUUUAUAAUAUCGUUUAGUGGUACUUCUGAGGCUACUAUUAUUGAACACUCUUGAAAGUAGUGUCGCAGCUUCCGGGAUGCCAUGAAUACCGCGUACGCAAUCUUUUGAUAAUGUGGGUACCUUGAUUUGCACGGAGUGAGGACAGUGGACACAUAAUAGACCGGCUUCUGAAGGGGGAAUUUGUGUCCGUCGUUUCUCGUUCGACGACGAGCACUGCGCUCAGAACCUGAUGGGUUGCUGCAAUGUAUAAUAGCAUUGGUUCGCCAAUGUUUGGCGCGGCCAGGACUGGGUUUGUUGCCAAUAUGGCUUUUAUUUCGUCGAGUCCGGCCGUGGCUGCGUCCGUCCACUCGAAGUGUUCGGUGCGCCUAAGGAGGCGGUAAAGGGGGAGUGCCUUUUCUCCCAAGUGGGAGAUAAAGCGGCUUAGAGCCGCCACACAUCCGGUUUACUUUUGUAUUUGUUUGAGGUCCUUUGGGAUAUUCAAUUGUGACAGAGCUCGGAUCUUGGCUGGAUUUGCUUCAAUUCCUCUACCGAAUACAAUGAAGCCCAAGAGCUUUCCGGCUGGAACGCCGAAAACGCAUUUUUCUGGGUUGAGCUUGAUGUCGUAUGUUCGGAGGUUAUCAAAUGUGAGCCUCAAGUCAUCUACUAGGGAUUCGACAUGUCUUGUUUUUACGACCACAUCAUCUACAUAUGCCUCCACUGUUUUGCUGAUCUGGUUUGCCAGACAUGUCUGAAUCAUGCGCUGAUAUGUUGUUUUGAGCCCGAAGGGCAUUGUGUUGAAGCAGAAUGGGCCGUAUGGUGUGAUCAAUGUCGUUGCGGCUUGGUCUGAUUCUGCCAUCUUGAUUUGAUGGUAGCCGGAAUAUGCGUCGAGCAAGCACAACGAAUCGUGUCCUGCAGUAGCGUCGAUAAUUUGAUCCAUGCGGGGGAGGGGAAAGGGAUCCUUUGGGCAAGCCUUAUUAAGGUCUUUAAAAUCAACGCACAAGUGCCAGGAUUUGUCCUUCUUUGGUACCAUCACUAGGUUUGCUAGCCAGUCCGGAUGUUUUAUAUCUCUGAUGGAUCCGGCCUCUAAUAGCUUGGCUAGCUCCUCUCCCAUGGCCUGUCUCUUAGGUUCGGAAAAACGCCGAAGAGCCUGUUUGACAGGUUUGAAUCCUUUAGGAUAUUUAAGCUGUGUUCGGCCAGCCUGCGUGGGAUUCCUGGCAUGUCUGAAGGGUGCCAGGCGAAAAUGUCCUAGUUCUCACGUAGGAACUCUCGCAGUGCGGCGUCUACAUCAGGGUUUAAUUGUGCACCGAUGGAAGCUGUUUUAUUGGGGUCCGUUGGAUGGACCUGGAAUUUGACUAUUUUGUCCGCUGGUUUAAAUGAGAUGGACUUGGAUCUUUUGUCGAGUAUCACAUCAUCCCUGUUCACCGUGGAGCGCAGCGCAGUCAGCUCCUCAGCCGCUAGGGCUUAGGAUAGUGCCUCAAGGGCCAGUGCGGCUGUCUUAUUUUAGGCGCGGAGUGCUAUGUCCAGAUCACUAGCGAGAGUGAUGAUUCCGUUCGGCCCGGGCAUCUUGAGUUUCAUGUACCCAUAAUGGGGUAUUGCUUGGAAGAUUGUGAACGCUUCCCGCCCUAGCAGAGCGUGGUAUCCGCUACUGAACGGGACCACUUGGAACGUGACCUCCUCGGACCUGUAAUUAUCCGGCGUGCCGAACACCACAUCUAGUGUGAUUUUUCCUGUACAGCACGCUUCCUGACUGGGGAUUAUUCCUCUAAAGGUUGUGCUGCUUCGCUCAAUGCGGUUCCAGUCUAUUUCUAGUUUUUGAAGGGUUUCCUCAUAAAUGAGGUUCAAUCCGCUGCCUCCAUCCAUGAGUACCUUGGUAAGGCGAAAGCCAUCCACUAUUAGACUGAGGACCAAUGUGGCUGGUGCUCGGGCUGUUCGGAAUUUAGGUUCAUCACUGGCAUUAAAAGUAAUAGCCGUGUCACUCCAUGGGUUUAUUGUUGCUACUUGGUAGACUUCGACAAGGCUGCGGAGUGUUCUUUUUCGCAUAUUAUUUGAUGCGAAAGUCUCGAAGACUGUUAAUACCGUACCGGUAUCCCUGGGGUGGCUUUCUAUGGCCUCCGGAAUUAGGAGAUCUUCACCAAUUUUGGCCACCUGCCGGAGUAUCCAACAUGCUCUAAGGCUGUGAGUUGGUGUGGCGCCCUCUGUACUAUGAAUUUUACAGGGUCGAUUAAGCCAUCCUUCCAAUAUGCUUCCAUGCCCUGUAGAGGGUUUUUGCUUUUUGGUGUUUAACCGGGUGUCUGGCGAAGAUGCACCCUUUUAUUUCGGACUGGGUUUGUAUUCAGGGCCGGAUUGUCCCAAAAUUUUAUUUCGGUUUUCCAGGCGCUAUCCAUCGCACAGUACUUUCGUACUAUGGACACCAAGUCAGCGAAGCAUGUAAUAUCACGGCGACUUAUGGCGUUGAGGAUUCCCUUGUCCAUGCAAUUAUUGCAGAAGAAUGAGAUUGCGUCUUCCUCGCGGCAGUCCUUGAUCCUGUUCAUAGCCAGGAGGAAUCUGGCCCAGUAAUGAUGUACUGUUUCUUUGGGUUUUUGCCUAAUUUGGGAUAGAUCGCUUAUGUUCGGGUGGGUGGGUGGAAUUAAAUCCGAAACCUGACCCGAUCUGAGACUCAGAGGCCAAGGAGAUUCCGAACUCGGAAGUUUGGAUUCUUGGAUGUUGUCCAAUGAGUCUAGCCCGUCGCCUGACUCUAAGUUCAGGUCUUGAGUGAUGUCCUCCCCUCCGCGGGUAUCCGACUUGGAGGGAUCGGGAAUCCGGACAUAACUAGUCCUUAAGAUAGAUGAAGGGUCACCGCACUGUCCCUCUACCAUAGCAAUGUGAUGGGUGACCUGGGGAGAGUUAAUCUCUCUUAGAUCGGGUUUAGGCCCAAUCUGGUCAUAAUCCGUGGCAACUCCCAGGGCGGCGACGCGAUCCAAGAGCUCGUUUAUGGAAGAGAGCUCCAUUGUAUCUAACUGCUCGGCGAGUUCCGAGAUGACAUGAAGACUGCUUUUGAUGACCCGAGAGGUCAUCGUCGGCGCAGCAGCCGAACAGGCGGUCAUAAGAAAACCGCCUAGCCGGAGAGUUUGGCCGACAGCCAAAGCUCCCUUAGCAACGGUUCCGUCUUUAAAGACGGGAUGAGGCAUCCUUCCUGAUGGCGACGGCACAGAGGAACUCUCAAUGUAAGCACCAAUAUCGGUGUCAAAACCGGCGGAUCUCGGGUAGGGGGUCCCGAACUGUGCGUCUAGGCGGAUGGUAACAGGACACAAGGGACACGAUGUUUACCCAGGUUCGGGCCCUCUCGAUGGAGGUAAAACCCUACUCCUGCUUGAUUAAUAUUGAUGAUAUGGGUAGUACAAGAGUAGAUAUACCACGAGAUCAAGGAGGCUAAACCCUAGAAGCUAGCCUAUGGUAUGAUUGUUGUUGUCCUACGGACUAAAACCCUUCGGUUUAUAUAGACACCGGAGAGGGUUAGGGUUACACAGAGUCGGUUACAAUGGUAGGAUAUCUACAUAUCCGUAUCGCCAAGCUUGCCUUCCACGCCAAGGAAAGUCCCUUCCGGACAUGGGACGAAGUCUUCAAUCUUGUAUCUUCAUAGUCCGGGAGUCCGGCUGAAGGUAUAGUCCGGCUAUCCAGACACCCCCUAAUCCAGGACUCCCUCACCCAGGUUUUCAGCCAAGAUUAUAACUAACCAUGUCGACAAUAACUCUUAAACAUUAUAGUAACUCUUAUGAGUAGAGGCCGCGGGAAAAAGCCUAGUAGUAGCGCGGAUAAAAGACUAGUAGUAGUGCGGGUGCCCGUGCUACUACUAUGGCGCUACAGCUAACUCGUAGUAGUAGCGCAGGUGCCACCCGUGCUACUAGUACGUGUGUUAGUAAUAGCGCGGAUUCUACACACGCUACUACUAACUAUGUGUAGCGCCUGUCUGUGACCCGCGCUACUACUAUUAAUUUCAAAAACCAAAAAAAAAUCUCGACCCCGUGCAUGUUGUCAAUGGUGUCAUCCAGCGACGACAGGGGUUGCCGGAGGUGUGGACGGGUAGUGGCAGACCAGAUCCGGCGAUGGCUGUUGGAGAUGGCCGGAUCCAGUGUAGAGCAAGACGACGGUGUGAGGAUCCUCUUCGCGGUCAAGGCGGAGAACUCCUGGUUGGCCAUGUCGACGACCUGUGCAGGCAUGGGCAUGGGAGGUGAGUAAAACCAAAGGGAGAGGGAGAGGAGAGGGAGAGGGAAAAAGAGAAACAAGGGAGAAAGGAAGGAGAUGGAGGGCGUAUCGGGGCUGCAUGGAGGCGAGGAGGAAGACGGGCGAGCUCUUGGACGCCAGCGAUGCGAGGAGGAAGACGUUGGGUGCCAUGGAGGAGGAGAUGUUCUUGGGCAGGAGCACCAUGGAGAGAGGGGGAAAGUGAGGGAGAGAGGAGGAAAGUGAGAGAGGGGGAAAGUGAGGGAGAGAGGAGGGAUUCGGCCGAGGAUAUGGAGAUUUCAUCUACCUCGUACUUAGUAGUAGCGAGGGGUAUAAAACCGCACUACUACUAUCAACAUAGUAGUAGCAUGGGUUUGUACCCCUCGCUACUACUAUGGCAUGUCCCGGGAGGGCAUGGUAGACACCGCUUAGUAGUAUCGAGGGUGAAAAACCCGCGCUAAUAGUAUCAACUUAGUAGUAGCGAGGGGUAAAAACCCACGCUACUAGUAAGUAGCAGUAGCGACGGUUAUAAACCCGCGCUACUAGUAAGCGUCUGCCUAUAAGCUUUUCCCUAGUAGUGGCAUAUCUAUGACAUAAUCAACUAGCGAGCAAUAAUAAGAUAUCUCAAACAACAACACGUUGUGAAAACAACCAUGAUAUAAUAUGACAAUAGUGGUAUCUCGCUAGCCCUUUCUAAGACCGCAAAACAUAAAUGCAGAGCACCUCCAAAGUUCAAGCAGCGACUAAACAUUGUAAUUCAUGGUAGAAAAGAUCUAGUCUUGAUGCACCCAACAUUAGCAACACAUAGUGCAUCAGCAUGACAACAGUGCUCUUUGGAUUUGGCACUUAUUUUAGAAGGUGAUGACACAACAUAAAAGUAAAUAGAUAGUCCCUUCGCAGAGGGAAGCAGUGAUUUGCAGCUGUGCCAGAGCUCAAAAUUUUAAAACAGAGGUAAAUGAAAUUUUGGGAAAUUGAUACGUAUCCAAUGUAUCUAUAAUUUUUUAUUGUUCCAUGCUAUAUUAUAUUAUGUUUUGGAUGUUUAAUAGGCUUAUUUAUACACUUUUAUAUUAUUUUUGGGACUAACCUAUUAACCGGAGGCCCAGCACAAAUUGCUGUUUUUGUUCCUACUUCAGUGUUUCGCAAAAAAAAGAAUAUCAAAUGGAGUGCAAACGGAAUGAAACCUUCGGGAACAUGAUUUUUGAAACAAAUGUGAUCCAGAGGACUUGGAGUCCAUGUCAAGCAGUCAACGAGGAGGGCACGAGGCAGGGGGCGCUCCUACCUCCCCCUAGGCGCGCCCUCCACCCUCAUGGGGCCCACGUUGCUCCACCGGCGUACUUCUUCCUCCUAUAUAUACCUACGUACCCCCAAACCAUCAGGGGCAUCCACGAAAACCUAAUUCCACCGCCGCAACCUUCUGUACACGUGAGAUCCCAUCUUGGGGCCUUUUCCGGCAUCCUGCCGGAGGGGGCAUUGAUCACGGAGGGCUUCUACAUCAACACCAUAGCCACUCCGAUGAUGUGUGAGUAGUUUACCUUAGACUUUUGGGUCCAUAGUUAUUAGCUAGAUGGCUUCUUCUCUCUCUUUGGAUCUCAAUACAAAGUUCUCCACGAUUCUCGUGGAGAUCUAUUCGAUGUAAUCUUCUUUUGCGGUGUGUUUGUCGGGACCGAUGAAUUAUGGAUUUAUGAUCAAGUUUAUCUAUGAACAAUAUUUGAAUAUCCUCUGAAUUCUUUUAUGUAUGAUUGGUUAUCUUUGCAAGUCUCUUCGAAUUAUCAGUUUGGUUUGGCCUACUAGAUUGAUCUUUCUUGCAACGGGAGAAGUGCCUAGCUUUGAGUUCAAUCUUGUGGUGUCGUUUCCCAGUGACAGCAGGGGCAGCAAGGCACGUAUUGUAUUGUUGCCAUCGAGGAUAACAAGAUGGGGUUUAUAUCAUAUUGCAUGAGUUUAUCUCUCUACAUCAUGUCAUCUUGCUUAAAGCGUUACUCUGUUCUUAUGAACUUAAUACUCUAGAUGCAUGUUGGAUAGCGAUCGAUGUGUGGAGUAAUAGUAGUAGAUGCAGGCAGGAGUCGGUCUACUUGUCACGGACAUGAUGCCUAUAUACAUGAUCAUACCUAGAUAUUCUCAUAACUAUGCUCAAUUCUAUCAAUUGCUCGACAGUAAUUUGUUCACCCACCGUAAUACUUAUGCUUUUGAGAGAAGCCACUAAUGAAACAUAUGGCCCCCGGGUCUAUUUUCCAUCAUAUUAAUCUUCCAACACAUAGCCUUUUCUAUUGCCCUUUUUAUUUUACUUUGCAUCUCUAUUUCUCUUUAUCAUAGAAAUACUAAAAAUAUUAUCUUAUCAUAUCUAUCAGAUCUCACUCUCGUUAGUGACCGUGAAGGGAUUGACAACCCCUUUAUCGCGUUGGUUGCGAGGUUCUUAUUUGUUUUGUGUAGGUGCGUGGGACUUGAGCGUGGCCUCCUACUGGAUUGAUACCUUUGUUCUCAAAACUGAGGGAAAUACUUACGCUACUUUGUUACAUCACCCUUUCCUCUUCAAGGCAAAAAACAACGCAAUGCUCAAGAGGUAGCAAGAAAGAUUUCUGGCGCCGUUGCCGGGGAGUUUACGCAAAAGUCAACAUACCAAGUACCCAUCACAAACUCUUAUCCCUUGCAUUACAUUAUUUGCCAUUUGCCUCUCGUUUUCCUCUCCCUCGCUUCACCCUUGCCGUUUUAUUCGCCCUCUUUUCCGCUCGCCUUUCCUUCGCCAUGUCGGAACCAAAAAGAGUUGGGGGUUCUCUCCCGAGUUUUAGUACUUUGGACGAUCCUUCUAUUCUAUCUAAACUCAUAAAUAAUGUCAUGGUAAAACCUGCCGGAGUUGUCAAUGAGAGUCUUAAUAAUUUUGAUGAAGAUGAUUCCGGAAUUUUUCGUUAUUUACUCGAUGAAUCUUUGAAAGAUGCUUGGGAUAGACUGUUAAGGAUCCGGGCUAACUAUGUGCCCCAAUACCAAAUUGUAGUUUACUUGAAGAGCUUUUAUGUUGCCCUACCUUCUUCGUUUAAGCAUGUCUUAGAUUCUAUAUUUGAAGAAGGCUUUCUUGAAGGGGAUGCCGUAGAUACUUAUGAAAAGAUGAAGACCAUAUUCGGGCACCCCAUGAAUGAGAAAAUUGAAUCUACAUCUCUUUUGCUCUCCAGUCCUUGGUUCAUGUAAAUCUGAAUCUAGCCGGCACUACCCCUUCACAAGCUGUUGCAUAGUCUUCAGCGAGGUGCGGCAUAACUUCCGUGUGAGGGGAAAUGAACUUCUCCAUGAAUACCUUCUCUCUCACCUUGAAAGCGGUAUAGUAGUAGCCUGGGUUGCACUUGAGCAAUCCAUUUUCCAUGAGAAACUUUACAACGUAGUACCUGGGUUUCAUCCAGCCCUCCAGCUUGUAAUUGAUAAUUAUUGACCGUUGAGCAACGUAGGUAGGUUCCAACCUGUUAGACUAUGUAUAGCUUCUGUACCUAUGUACGUAUAUGGUACAUAUUGUAACACAACCAUUAUAUAUAAUGAGAUAAGCCACCCCUAGAGGGUUGUGCUGGUUCCCCAAAACUUAUUGUCUUACAUGGUAUCACGCUAGGUUACGAUCGCUUCCGCUUCUAAACCCUAAUACCCGCACCGCCGCCGCAGCCGCCGCCGCCUUCACCGCCGCCGCCGCGCCACCGAUCGCGCCGCCGCCAUGUCGAGCGCUGCCACCACCGGUUCCACUGCUGCGGGCUUCCUCCCGGCCUCUCUUGCGGCUCUGCUCAACCUCCCGCUCGAUGCCGUCUCUGUUCCGGCUCCGAUCGGGACAAGGAGCAUCGGCUCCGUCUUCUCCAUGCCGCCGGCGCCCUCGCUUGGGCGUGACCUCGUGGUCCACACCGCGGCGCCGCCGUCCGCUGCGGACUCCGCAGGCAUCGUCCCGCCGCUCCUGCCGCAAGCGGAUCACACUGCCCCGCUGGCGGGGUUGGCGGCGUCCGCCCCGGCCGCGGGCCUUGCGGCGUCCGCACCGGCCGCGAGCUUUGCGGCGCCCGCCCUGGCUGCGGUCCCGCCUCCUCCCGCAUCGGCUUCGGUGCCUCCAGCUGCCUCCAUGGUGUUUGCACCCCAGGCAGCCUCCUCGAUGGGAUUGUCUUCGCCGCUGCCGUUUCACUUCGGUCAUCUCAUCACCAUCAAGCUCUCCGCCGACAACUACAUCUUCUGGCGUGCGCAGGUUCUCCCGCUCUUGGGGAGUCACUACCUGCUAGGCUACAUCGACGGAUCGCUUCCCUGCCCACCCGCGCUGGUAGACAGCAUGCACGGUCCGGUCUACAAUCCGGCCCAUCGCGUCUGGACGGGGCAGGACCAGGCGAACCUCUCCUCCAUCCAGGGGUCGCUCUCGCCGGCAGUUGUCGGCCUUGUUGUCUUCGCGAAGACGUCUCAUGAGGCCUGGACCAUCCUUGAGCACACCUUUGCAGCGCAGUCCCAGGCUCGUGUCUCUGCACUCCGUCGUCAGCUUGGAGAGUGUCAGAAGCUUGACUCCACUGCCACUGAGUUCUACAACAAGGUCAAGGGCCUCGCCGACACAUUGGCCUCCAUUGGACAGCCCCUCACCGACUCCGAGUUCAACUCGUUUAUUGUCAAUGGUCUUGAUGAGGAGUAUGAUGCCUUAGUCGAGAUCAUCAACGAGCGGGGCAACUCGACACCCAUGCUGGCACACGAGGUUUUCUCUCGGCUCCUUCUCACUGAGCAACGGGUCGAGACUCGCCGCACCAGGGGCACUGGCUCCCUCUCGGCCAACGCCGCCACCAAGGGUGGCCGCUCUUCUUCAUCACCCCGGUCUCCCUUGGGGCUGCCACCGUCGCCCUCCUCGGCCCCCCACCUACUGCGACCUUACCGGGGGCUGGCGUUCCACGUGUGUGUCAGCUUUGUGGCCGCGAUGGGCACUGGGCCUCCAAGUGUCAUAAGCGCUUCCAGCGAAGCUUCCUUGGUCUUGGCAAUGACGGCAAAGAUACACGCAACAAUGCCCGUCAGGUCGCCAUGGCUGAUCGUCCCGCGCCGCAGAAGCAACAGGGACACACUCAGUCCUACUCCAUCGAUCCACACUGGUACAUGGACUCUGGGGCGAUAGAGCAUCUAACCAGCGAGAUGGGGAAGCUUCACACUCGUGAACCCUAUCAUGGCUCCGACAAGAUCCACACCGCCAAUGGAGCAGGUAUGCACAUCUCUCAUAUUGGUCAAGCAUCUCUUCUCACUAGACAUGCCAAUAGGAGUCUUCAGCUUCGCAAUGUUCUUCGAGUUCCAUCUGUGACCCGUAAUCUUCUUUCAGUUCCUAAACUCACACGUGAUAAUAAUGUGCUUUGUGAAUUUCACCCUUUUGAUCUUUUUAUUAAGGAUCGGGGCACGAGGGACAUUCUUCUUAGUGGGCGGUUGUGCCAGGGCCUCUACCGUCUGGAGCAUCCUGGUGUCGCUCGUGUUUUCAGUGGAGUUCGGGUCUCUCCGUCACAGUGGCAUGCUCGUCUUGGUCACCCGGCCACACCUAUUGUCCGUCAUAUUUUGCGUCGUCAUGAGCUUCCUAGUUUGUCUAGUCAUAAAGAUGUAGCAGUGUGUGAUGCUUGUCAGCAGGGGAAGAGUCAUCAACUUCCUUUUUCGGAGUCCAGUCGUGAGGUGAAACAUCCUUUAGAACUUGUGUUUUCAGAUGUAUGGGGUCCUGCUCAGACUUCUGUCAGUGGUCAUAAUUACUAUAUCAGUAGUCGCUUUACCUGGCUUUACCUUAUUAAACGCAAAUCUGAUGUGUUUGAUAUUUUUGUUCAGUUUCAAAAACAUGUUGAACGUCUUCUCAAGCACAAAAUUGUUCAUGUCCAGUCAGACUGGGGGGGCGAGUAUCGCAACCUCAACUCUUUCUUUCAGUCGCUUGGGAUAGCUCAUCGUUUAGCAUGUCCACAUACACAUCAGCAGAAUGGUUCAGUCGAACGUAAGCAUCGUCAUAUUGUUGAAGCUGGUCUUACUCUUUUGGCCCAUGCAUCUAUUCCGUUUCGGUUUUGGAGUGAUGCUUUCACCAUUGCAUGCUUUCUCAUCAACCAUACUCCUACUCGUGUUUUAAACAUGAAGACUCCCAUUGAGGUUCUCCUUAAUGAACAACCUGAUUAUACCUUUCUCAAGGUAUUUGGGUGUGCUUGCUGGCCGCAUCUUCGUCCAUAUAACAAGCGCAAGCUUGAGUUUCGUUCUAAGAAGUGUGUUUUUCUUGGCUAUAGCUCUCUUCAUAAAAGUUACAAAUGUCUUCAUGUUCCCACUAAUCGUGUCUAUAUAUCUCGGGACGUCGUGUUUGAUGAGCAUGUUUUUCCCUUUGCCAACCUUCCUGUGUCCACUGUCGAACCACCAUCCCUGCAUUCAUCCUCUGUUGCUUCUGACCAAUUUGAUGAUGUUGCAUACUCUCCUUUGCUGUUACCUAACCAUCUCCACUGCUCGGUCCGUUUCGCCAGCGGCCGCCGAGUCGCCCGCGACUCGGCCCGUCACGCCGUCUUCGCCUGCGGCUCGGCCCGUCACGCCGUCUUCGCCCGCGGCUCGGGUCCUCAUGUCGCCUUCAUCAGCGGAUCGGCCUGCGACACCGGCCGCGCCACGGCCCACUAUGCCGAGCUCGCCAUCGGCCCGGUCUGUGAUGCCGGAGUCGCCAGCUGCUUCGUCUGCUCUGCCGGUUUCGCCGGUGGGUCGGCCUUCUUCGCCAACCGAGUCCGAGGCUACCGUGACUGGCUCCUCGUCACCGGCUGACUCGUCAACGUCGCCGUCCUCCAGCCCGUUGCAGGCUGCUCCGUCGACCUCGGUGGUUCCUGUGUCCCGACCACAUACAUGCAGUCGCAGUGGCAUUUUCAAACCUAAGGAACGUAAGGAUGGUACGGUUGCUUGGUUGGCUGCUUGUUUGGCUGCUGCUGUUGCGGAUCCAUCUUCUGAGCCUCGCUCAUAUCAGGCUGCCCUGCGCAUUCCACAUUGGCGAGAGGCUAUGGAGCAGGAGUUUCAUGCUCUUCUUCGUAACAAGACAUGGACUCUCGUUCCUCCACCACCACGGGUAAAUGUUAUUGAAUCAAAAUGGGUAUUCAAAGUGAAGAAGCAUUCGGAUGGAUCUAUUGAGCGUUACAAAGCGCGACUUGUUGCUCGCGGUUUUCGGCAGCGUCAUGGUCUUGACUAUGAGGACACCUUCAGUCCUGUCGUCAAGCCUACCACUAUUCGACUUCUUCUCUCCAUUGUUGUUUCUCGUGGUUGGUCACUUCGUCAACUUGAUGUGCAGAAUGCUUUUCUACAUGGAUUUUUGGAGGAAGAGGUUUAUAUGAAACAGCCGCCUGGUUUCUCUGAUCCUGAUCGUCCUGACUAUAUCUGUCGUCUUUCCAAAGCACUAUAUGGUUUGAAGCAAGCUCCUCGUGCCUGGCAUGCCUGCCUUGCCUCUGCCCUUCGUGCUCAUGGGUUUGUGCCGUCUACUGCUGACACUUCGUUAUUUCUUCUACAGAAGCCAGAAGUCACUAUGUAUCUUUUGGUAUAUGUCGAUGAUAUUAUCCUUGUCAGCUCUUCUCAGUAUGAUGCUGAUGCUCUUGUCUGCUCUCUUGGUGCUGAUUUUGCGGUCAAAGAUCUUGGGAAGCUUCACUACUUUCUUGGAGUUGAGGUCACUUCUCGUGCUACUGGUCUUGUCCUUACGCAGAAGAAGUACUCCUUGGAGUUGUUACAGAGAGCUGGCAUGCUGAAGUGCAAACCGACCACCACACCCAUGUCGUCUACCGACAAGAUAACAGCUGCUGAUGGUGAGCUUUUGUCUCCUGCGGAUGCCACAGAGUACAGGAGCAUUGUUGGUGGACUUCAGUACUUGACGAUCACGAGACCAGAUAUCUCUUAUGCUGUUAACAGGGUUUGUCAGUAUCUUCAGGCUCCCAGAGAUACUCAUUGGGCUGCUGUUAAACGCAUUCUUCGUUAUGUUCAGUUCAUCCUGACAUUUGGUAUGCAUAUUCGGCCGACUUCCUCUCGGGUCCUUUCGGCCUUCUCUGAUGUAGAUUGGGCUGGUAGCCCAGAUGACAGACGAUCCACGGGGGGUUAUGCAGUAUUCUUUGGCUCUAAUUUGAUCGCCUGGAGUGCUCGGAAACAAGCUACUGUGUCACGUAGCAGUACUGAAGCUGAGUACAAGGCUGUGGCUAAUGCUACUGCAGAGAUUAUUUGGGUGCAGUCUUUGCUUCAGGAGUUGGGUUUGUCUCAACCACAGCCUCCUAUUCUUUGGUGUGAUAACAUCGGUGCUACAUACCUUUCUGCAAAUCCAGUAUUUCAUGCCCGAAUGAAACACAUUGAAGUUGACUAUCACUUUGUACGGGAACGUGUAUCACAGAAGCAACUCCAGAUCAAGUUUAUCUCAUCUAAGGAUCAACUUGCAGACAUCUUCACUAAGCCUUUACCGCUGCCACAGUUUGAGGCUUGUAGGCGCAAUCUUACCCUUCUCAGUUCUUUAGAAAGUGGCUAAGAUUGAGGGAGGGUGUUAGACUAUGUAUAGCUUCUGUACCUAUGUACGUAUAUGGUACAUAUUGUAACACAACCAUUAUAUAUAAUGAGAUAAGCCACCCCUAAAGGGUUGUGCUGAUUCCCCAAAACUUAUUGUCUUACACAACCCCACCUCAGAGAUGAGGAAAUCAGACCUGCGCUGCAGUAAUUCCUUUGACUUCCUCAGCAGACACGGAGCGUUACACACAACAAUGCUCACCUCAGCGUCUGACCACCUGAACAUCUUCUUCAAGUAGGCCACAUUGGCGGCGAUCUUCUCCUCGCUGAGGAAUCUGACAGUAUCCAGCGUGUGCCUGAACAUCCUGAGCCACGAGGCAUGCCAAGGCCUUCGGCGCAUGCCACCAUCGCCCUGACGUGUUCUGGCUUGUUGCUCAGGACACCCCGCGCGCGGAGGGACAACUUGGUGAUAUCGCAAUCAUCUAGCCCGCAUUGCCGUAGGAGCGCGACGUUGGGUUUGACCAUCUCCUCGAUGCUGUGUUUUGGUUUUCGGUUUGCGUUUUUUCUCGCCCCUGAACGAGAUGGCCGAAAUUCGGCCAUUUCAAAAAUCUCGGUAAAAUCUCGGACGAAAUUACAAAACCAAAAUUUGAAUUUUAAACGAAAUUUGACUAAAAAUUGGCCGAAAUUCGGCCGAAUUUUUUGAAAACAAGCAGAGCAAAUGUACAGCAGUCGAACAACACUGAGGAGUACAUGUAUGCGUUACCAAACUAGCUUUGGGGAUUAAUAACUCCAAAAGAAAAGAUUGAAACAAGGAUACAGAGAGGUGAUCCAGAGUUGAGGAGUUCCCGAUGGAUUCAGCCGCAGCCCGCAGCCGGCAGAGGUCAGCAGCAGGGGCCGGUCGUAGGAACGGCGAGAACGGGGUAGGAGCCGCAUGCUCGAGCGGGGAGGCAGGUGCCGACGAGCGGAGGAGCCGCGUAUUGGCGCAUCGCCGCCGCCGCAAACACAGGGGCCGCAGGGGAUCGUGGUUAGUUUAGGGUUCACGAGUUCGGUUCGAUGCUUUUAAUCCAGGCAAACCGUGGGGAGGCCCAGAAGUUGGACUGGGCCAGAAAAAAGUUUCAAUCUGGGCCGAAAGUUUUGGCCGGCACAGACAUUUACCGGGUCGAGGCGAGAUGACCGAAAUUCGGCCGAAAAUUGUUUUUUUCGGCCGAAAAUCAAAACACAGCCUCGAUGUCAGCGCCGGCGAGGUAGCCUUGCUUGAGCACCCGGAAGAGGUUCUCCGAGGAGCCGAAUAGGAGCAGGUAGUACCGCAAAUUGGAAACAAUGGACCUGGAACAGAAGUGGGCGAAGGAGAGCGCGACGAGGCGCACGAUCUCAGUACGCGAGAGGCCGAGGCCGGUGAGCCCACGACGACGGGGGCUAGAGUUUUCUCUACUUUGGCGCAGAGGAACAACGGGUCCUUGGCGACGAGGGCGGCGACGUCGGUGCCGGAGAGGCCGAGGCCGGCGAGGAAGGAAAGGACGGCGUCGGGCUUGGACGAGGACUUGAGGUGGGAGAGCUUGGCGGAGGCCUUGAGUGCCUGGGGUCGGGUGAGGCCGAAGGUGGAGACGAGGUAGUCGUCGACGACGAAGCUAGGGUUUGGGGAAACGCCGGGCGCGGCGGCCGCGGAGAGGGGGCGGUGGAGAGGGGGGCCUGAGAGGUGGCGGGGGAAGAGAGGAGCCGCACGAGGAUGCAGCCACGGAGGCGGAGCAUGGCGGCGGCGGCGGCGGAGAGAUUGAUUCCCUAUGGAGGCGGGUGCGAAUGGGAUGGUGCUUCGGAGGCGGGGAUGCGGCGCCCCGGCGAGGCAGGUGAGGAACGGAGGAAGAGAACAGGAGGAGAGAUCGAAGAGGAUGGCACUUCGGCGGCGGCGGCGGCGCCGCCGAAGAGAUUUUCCGGUCCGCUGUGAGUGGAGAGGAAAAAUGGGAAAUGGCAGGUGCGAUGCGAAUGGAGGCUCCGCAAAUUGCAAUAUCACUGAAUCCCAGGGGUCUUUACGUCUUUCAAAAAUACAAAAUACAUUUAAAAAAACAUACAUAAUACAUUGAGCCUCAUGGAAACUUUCAUAUACACAUGGAAAAUAGAUAUCCCCUCCGUUUAAUAAUGUAGUGCAUAUAGAUUUUUGAAAGUCGGACUUUGCAAAUUAUGAUCAAAUUUAUAAAGCGAACUACUUAUACCUACAUUAUCAAAUAUAUAAAAUAUGAACCUACGUCUUAUGAUGAAUCUAAUGAUAUAUGCUUGACAUUCUAGAUGUAAAUGUUUUUCUUCACAAACUUGGUCAAAUUUUGUUAGAUUUGACUUUUCAAAAAAUCUACAUGCAAUCAUUAUGCAAUCGGUAUUAUAAGGAAAAUGACUUUGAGCGAUAAGAUUAUAUCACAAAAUAAGCUAUUAUACGACUUGUACUUAUCCUAUGAUUUUUUUCUGUAGGUAUAGUACUUCAUCCGUUUUUAUUUACUUUGCAUAUUAGAGUUGACUGAAGUCAAACUUUGUAAAGUUUGACCAAGUUUAUAGAAAAGAAUAUAAAUAUUUACCCUAACAAACGAAAAUCUGCAUCUGAGCCCGGGCUCAGAUGUUCCCGCUCAGAAAAAAAUUCAAAACAAAUUCUAGAAAAAUUCAAAUAAAUCCAAUUUUUUGUGUGGUAGAUAAUUUGAUGCGUGAGGCCCGCUUCAAAUUUCAACUCAUUUGGAUAUCUGAGGAGCUCUCGGCAAAAAAGACAAAUCGGAUCAAAACAGUUCGUGAACAAUAAACUUUUUUACAGACCCGAUUUUGUCUUUUUGCAGAGAGCUGCUCAAAUGUCCAAACGAGUUGAAAUUUGCAGCAAACCUCACGCAUCAAAUUAUCUAUCACACAAAAAAUGGAAUUUUUUUGAUUUUUUCUAGUAUUUGUUUUGAUUUUUUUCGUCGGAGCGAGUGCAGUUGAGCCCGGGAGCCAAAUUGGCUUAUAUGAUGUGAAAGUAUGUUCAAUAAUGAAUGUAAUGGUAUUGAUUUGUUAUUGUACAUGUUAAUAUUUUUGACUAUAAACUUCGUCAAAAUUUAUAAAGCUUGACUUUGACCAAAACUAAUAUGCGGAAUAAAUAAAAACGGAGGGAGUAAAUGGCUAUGUUUUUUUUUGUACGUAGUAAAUGGUUACUUUUUCUGAUUUUUUUUAAAUGGUUAUGCUUGCUAACCAAUCCAAUUCAAAUUAUAUGUCGCUCAAACGGAUGUAUCUAAUUAAUAUGGAUCGGAUGGAGCAGAAAAGUUCAUAUGGAUAUAUAUUUUCUCAAAACUUGAAAGUAUGAUUUCUACAAGUAAAAAAAAAUCAUAUGUGAACUAUGUUUGUUUUUAGCAUUUUGUGUGCGUUCAUGUUUCUUUUUCUCUCUCUUCAUUCUAGCCUCUUUUCCUCCACCUCACUCUGUUCUCACAUUGACAUUGUUGCCUUUUUCAGUGGACUCCUACCUAUCUUUUCUAACUUUUGCAAGGUGAGAAUUGAGAAGGUUAUUAUUCUUUAGUUUUAUGUGUAUAGCUAUCCUAGAGUCGAGAUCAAUUGCAUCGUGUCCACUUAUCCUCUAUAACACUAAGCUUCCUAGUUUUAAAAAGCCCACACUCAAUUAAGGUCUCCAAUUAGAAUUGGAUCAUCCGAUUUUGAACGGGUCAACAAUUUCUCAAAGCUUCAUAAUCCAAUUUUUUUAUACUAUACCAUAUGCUUCCUAAUUUUUAAGGCCUCACAAUUAAUUAAGAUAUUCAAUAUAGAUUGAUCAUCCAAUUUUGACUGGGUCAACAAUUUCUCAACCUCUCCAAUUGAAUUCUUUUAAUUCACUAUAUUCCAAAAUUUUGAAUCUCUUUCAUUCAAUUGAGGUAUUCAAUUUUGAUUUGGUUGAAGAUUUUGAGUGGGCCAAUGAUUUUCAAAUCAAUCAGCUGCAACUGACCUAUAAAAACAUAUCAAUCCCAUGCACCCUUCCACCACAUAGAAAAAAGAAACGUCACCAUGUGAUAUUGUAGUAUCAAUAUAGUACAUGCAACCACCAACGCAGAAAUUUUUCCACAUAAAUAUAGGUUGGUUAGCGGAUGACACAGUCAUCUCCCCACCCGCCUAACUUAAUAUUCCAUCAGUUAUAAAAUAUGAAGGGUAUUAAUUUUGUAGAAAGUAAAACUUCUUUAACUUUGACCAAGUUCAGAGCAAAAAUAUCAACAUCCACAAUAUUAAACAAAAAAAGUAUGGAAAUUCAUUUCGUGAUGAAUCUAAAAAUACUGAUUUAAUCUUAUGAAUUUUGAUAUAUUUCUCUCAAAUUUGAAAAAACUUAAAAGGUUUGGCUUUUCAAAAAAAUACACCUUAUAUUAUGAAACAGAGUGAUUAGUUUCUUAAGAUACCCAAUAACAUGAACGGCGCAGCAAAGCGCGCAGAACCCUUCUAGUUAGUAGUAUAUCUAAGAACAAUUAGCAUCCCAUUGAUGAUCGAUAAACCUUCUUAGUCCAGCUAGUGGUUGGUUGUCUAGAGUAUAGCUGGCCAAAUGGGCCGGUUUUUUCGGGUCGGCCCGUGAGCACGCCGGCACGGCCCACCUUGGGCCAGGCACGGCACGGGCCAAACGAGCCAGGCCCAGCACGCGGCACGCCCUAGGCCGUGCCUGGGCUGGAGGCUGGGCAUGCGGGCCGGCACGGCACGGCCCGAUUAUGUUUUUUAUAUUUGUUAUACAUUUAUAUAUGAUCCAACAUGUAAAAAUAAGCUAAAAACGCUCAAUGCGUCAAAUAAUAGGCUAAAAAUAUGCGGCCCACCGUGCUAAAUGGGCCAACGUGCCGGCUCGUUUACUAACGGGCCGUGCCUGGGCCUGGGGGCGCAGCACGCGGGCCGGCACGGCACGGCACGUAUAGUAAUCGUGCCCUGGCGGACCGUGCCGGACCAGGCACGAUUAUGAUGGGCCGGGCCAUGCCGUGCCGGGCCAGCCCGUUUGGCUAGGUAUGGUCUAGAGAUCUAUAUGGAGUCAGUUGAGAUGGGAUGGUCAGCCAAGUGGGUUGAUCAAUGCUCCUCUUAAAAUUCGAAGCCUAAAGUAGAUGUGCUACUCGAGAAAUAAAAAGACCAACGUAGACCGUACCAACAUCUAAUAUUUGACGUCACAUUUAAAUUUGAUACUAUUCAUACCCAUAAUUGUCCCUUUGCUCAUCGAAUUAUGCAUCUUAUAUAAAUGUUGUAAAUGAUCAAUUUUUAUAAUAAUUUUAGGGUUGUAGUUCGGUGCAUAGGUAGCUCAGAGGAACCAUAGUCAUCGCUUCCUCUCCAAAAAAGCUUAGGGUUCCUAUGCCUCCCGCUGGCGCAGCUGCCGGUCCACCUCGUCUCCGGUGGCCCUAGGGUCAUGGGGACACGGUGAAUCUCAUCCCUUACCAGAGGGCUUCGUUUUUAGACGUUUCUUUGAAUUUUGUUAGGGUUGUGUCUUGCUAAUUAAGGAGGGCAAGACAACGACGGCUUCCUGAAGAUUGAAUAAGAUUCUCCCCGCCUAGCCCCCGUCUCGAUGGCGCAUCUAACAUCGUCGAAGAGUGUGUGGAGGUGUAUCUCCGCCAGAUCUCGCAGGAUUCGGUAGGUGGUUUGUCUUUGGUGGAUCUACUCGGACCCGGUCUUCGUUCGUCUACGUUUGUGUGUCGCUAGAUUGGAUCCUUCCGAUCUAUGGGUCUCUUCAUCGGCGGGGGUUGCUAUUCUAGUGCGCUGGUCCUACGAGGCCUUAGCACGACAAGUUCCCGACUGUGUACUACAAUAAGUUCUGCCCGGCUCCGGGGAGGGAAGGGCGAUGACGACGGUGCGUCUUCGGCUCGUUUUAAUGCUUGUAGUCUUUGCUAGAUGGUCUAAGGAUGAAUGUGAUUUUUAUUAUUCCUAUUGUUCAUUGUAUUGUCAUGAUUGAAAAUGAAUAUAUCAAAUGAUUUCUCAUAGAAAAGAAGCUCAUAAGAACCAUUAAAAGGACAAUCGUGUGGUCUCCCUAGACUUUUUUUUAGAAAAGGAGGAAGACCCCCGGCCUCUGCAUCUGAGCGAUGCAUACAACCACUUUAUUAAUUAUUCUCAAAAGACCUUACAAAGAAAUACAACAAUAAGUCUGAAGCCAUCAUCUAGGCAACAUCUGUUGCUACUCCUAUUCAUUUGAUGAAGGGAUGCUGAUAGUCUGGGCUUAAUACCAAACAGACCUCGCAGCCAAACCUAACAUCUAAGACCUGAGUUCCCAUCCAGGACGCCUGCCGGGUAUGGGUCACCCACCGGUCCGGCACACUCCUCAACAUGGACGCCUGCCGGGUAUGAGGCCGCCGCAGCCACCUGCCACCAAUCCAUCUUCAGAGAUGUAGUGUUGCAUCUACCUUGUCCGGUCUAGCUGCCGUCGACGCCACCACGAUGCCAGACAACGCCACCAUCCUGCGCUCGUCCAUCAACACACGCCCAGCAGCAAGAUCCCGCUGCUCUAUGCCCCUGAGACCCGCCAUUGUCGACGUAUCAGAUGCAACGCCGCUCCUCCUUCGCGAACACCACCUUCUACCACUGGUCCUAUCCCCUCCACCUGUAGAUCCUCUGAACUCCCAACCGAGCCCUAGUGCCCCUGACGACACCUCCAGGAAGGUCACGACGCAAAAAGCGCCGCUGCCGCCAGAUCCGAAAAGGAUUGAAGGUUUUCACCCGGCCGGGGAUCGGGGUGGAUAGAUUGGGCCCUCAGCUGCGCCUUCAUGAAGGAAAGCGGCACCCAUGAGCGUCGCCGCCGCCGGGCCGGCUAGACUGGCCAAGGUUUUCCCCGGACCCAAAGUACACCACCAGGGCUGACCACCACCGGAGCCUGCAGCCGUAAACCACCAGGACGACGACAGAGGCAGCAGGAGAAAGGGGAACCAUUAAAAGGACAAUCGUGUGGUCUCCCUAGAUGGUCCUUGGAGGGAGCGAUGCAAUUUCAUUUCCUUUUUAUUGCAUUCUCAUGGAUCUAUGGGAUACACAGAUUUGGAAUAGCCAUGCGUUAUAUAGGUUUGGAAAAGAUGAAUGGGCAGGACAAAGCCCAUCAAGGUCCACAGUUGGACAUGGUAUUUUUCUCUUCCCUGAUCUUGUGUGGUUGUUACAUUACAACGAGGACUAGAUGCAUUCAUGAACCUGAGGAGACUAUAUACGGUGAUUAUAUCGUGGCUAUCAUAUUUACCUAUUUUACAAAGAAUGAUCGGAUAUAAUUUACUGGUACAAUCCAUUGUGUGCCUUUCACGCUUCCGUCAGUUUAAUUUCCUCACAUUUUAAGUAGUCUUGUGAAGUUGUGAUCAGGUAGCUCGCAAUCUGAAUUUCUGUAAUGAAUUUUUUUUGGUCCAACGAGUAAAACGUAGACUUGGUGACCCUCAAAAGGGAUGAUAUUUUACAUAACGAGUAAAUCAUGAUGUCCUUAGAUAUUUCUUAUGAGUAUUUCUUCUUUUCUGCGGAAAAGUUUCUUGUCUUCCGAACUCUUGGAUGUGGGCAGAACUCUUGAUGAGCCGAGGCACCCGCGGCAUGCCAUUGUGAGUCAAGUUUGCCAUUGUUUGAUGGGAAGUUUUCAAGUGCUACAUGUAGAAGGACGCUAUAGUGGCUGCAAUCUUGCUGCUAAGUGACACGUACUGUCACCCUGUUUCUAAUGAAAAAAACUGAAGAACAAUGACUCAUUUAAACAUUGUUCAAUUUUGUGGUUCAUGAGCCUUUUCUUCAAAGUUUACUUAAAAGUUGGGUUAUUAGGUAAAAAAUGGUUCCUUUCCUUUUGUGCUUGCAAUUUAUUGUCCUGACAAAAACACUUUUUAUUGCAGUGCUAAGAAAAUGCGUCUACUACUUGACUGAACUAAAUACUCUUGAUAGCAAACCCUCUCUGGGCAUAUUCGUAGAUUCAAGGUGAGGAGACAUGCCAGCAUACAGACCAGCAACAUACAUGGCACAUGUACGACGUUCUAACAAGAGCAUAAAGUUGAUUGAUUCUUGAUAGCAUCACCUGAAUAUAUCACUCACGGAUUCAUGAAUGUUCCCCGUUGCAAUGCACGGCCAUUCACCUAGUAAAGGCAAUGAUUUGUUGGUAGUAGAGGCAUCUCAUGUUUCAAAGGGUUAAACCUUAGCCGUCGUGACCCGGCUCCAUGGCUGGGUCAAUCUCGCACCUCUGUUGGUGCCGAACCCUAGGCAAAUUCCCCCAAAUCUCUUGUUGUUUCUAUUGAUUGACCGAAUGUGAGGAGCAAUAGUAGAUCAAUAACUCUCGUAUAACCGAGGGAAAAAGAAAUGAAGAGAAGUUGGCGAAAGUAUCAAGUGGUACAUCUACUUUUUAUAACAUCACAUGAAGCCGGCGAAAAGGAAAGCCGAUCAACGAAGAAACUGCAUAGGGGACCUAUCAUGAGUGAACAUUGCGUGGGCGCCAUUGGCCGCAUCUCAUCAUCUUGUUGUGUAGAAGAAGAAAUGACUGCCGAUGCUGCUGGUGCCUCCAUCUCUAUGACCUUGCCGUCCAAGCCCGCAUUAGCAACAAACACGUAGCACUAGAGCACGGGAGGAGAGUUGAUCAGGGAAAUCGCCUUUCUUGACGACAGGAGAAUUAGUGAUGGGCGACUCCACGCGACGCUGAUGUGAUUUCAGGCCACACUAAAGGAUGUCGGAGAAGGGGGCCAUAGGACGAACUCAACCGCAUCGGUAGUGGGCUUGGUGGAUAUUGUGUCGAGGGCUCGGGGACGCACUCGGUGAUGGUGGUGGACCUCGGGGAGGGGGGCCUCAUACACGUGGAUGCAGGGGAAAAGAGGGUGCACGGGCUUGAAGGCAUUACUCAUCCACCUCUUCUGGCAAAGAGAGCUCAUCGGGGCCAACCGCGUGAAGGAGGAGCUUGAGGUAGCUUGGAGGAGGCGACGACGACAACCAGAUCCAUCUGGCAAGCCAGAGUGGAGGCAUCCCACGUGGGAGCAGUGAUUUCGGUGCCUAAGCUUAGAUGCACCUGCUAUUAUGUUUGUUCAUUGCUGCAUGGAGAUUCAGGAAAUGGGGCAUGAGGUGGCAUUGCUAGGGCGUGGAAAAUCCCCAAAAUGAACUAUACAUGCAUGAAUAGUGUGAUACAUGUGGGUCUAUCGUGUAGCACACGAGGAGGGUUCGAACGAAGGACAGACGGUGCCAUCUUGGUUGGAUUCUGAUCCAUGGCACCUAAUCGUCUGCAUUCAUCUAAGUCGUGGCUCACUCUGCUGCCUGUGGCAUGACUUUGACACUUUGAAUCCGAGUCAUGGCCUAAAGAUUUGUGUAGCUCCAGUUGGGGCCUGCGGUGUAGGAUCGUCGGUACGCACACCGAAUGUCAUCCACGACCGACGUCGGCCAACAGAUUGCUAGCUUACUAGACGCUACAAGAGGUAGCGUCCUUCGUGAAGUUUGUGUGCUUCAACACCAACCAGGUCAUCCUAAGCCGUCAUGGACAACCCAUUCAUCUACGUGGUUGACUUCAACAUUGGAGACGACUUCUCAUGGUCGUUGCUCAUGUCACACCUUGCUCACCAUGGCAACAAGCUGUUUCAUGUCACGUCACUUGCCACCACAUUAAUGCACCGCGCGGAUACGCAUGCACCUACAAUCGUGCAUGGUGUCCCUCAGAGUUCACGCGCGUCCCUAGGGGCUCCCAUUCCAGUACGACGAGAAGGACCUCCUGGUCUGGGCUGGAAGUCACGUAAUGGUACCUACAACAAUCUCGAAAAGAGUAGAAGGCCUGGAUUUCGAGAGCAUCUGAGCUCGCACUUAGAAAUCUAUUUUUGUUCCCACGGUCCAUACAUAGAGAGAAACUAGAAAAGAAAAUGCAAAACACGCAUACAUGCAUGCAUGCUUCCACAAAUGGGUUACCAGAUACCUUUCUGGGGCUCUGGUGACCUCACAUUCAUUGUUGACCCCUUACGACCUCACAAUCAUGGGAGAGAUUUCAUGACCGCACACUGUCUCUAUAAAAGCCUAUCACCUCUAUGAAUCAUGUGGCUCCAUCAUUUCAAAUCCUCCGCGCGCCUAAGAUACCACUUGAGAAAUUACUAAUGGCCAACGGAAAGAAUGUCAUGGCCAUGUUGUUUCUCACCACCAUUGUGGCGGUGGCGGCCACAAGGCCAGCCGAGACCUAUGGCGCUGCGGAGGAGAACACAUUGAAGAUGGCUACCCCCAGCAAGAAAGGGGUUGACGCUACCUUAGCAGCUACACGUGUUGUUGCCGCCGAGAAGUCCAUCAAGAAGGCUGAAAGCGCCACCACACCAGAAGAGGCCGCGACUGCCAAGCAAGAUGGAGCAAAAUCUGCUUCUGCUGCAUUAAAGUACAAUGCCAUCUCUCAGCAGGCAAAUGGUAAAGGUUCUUCUACCUCCCUAGGCAGGAAAGAAGCAGCCGGUACUUUAGCCGCCGCACACUAUGCCGCCGCCGAGAAGUCCAUCAAGAAGGCCGAAACCGCCAAGACACCUGCAAAGGCCGUGGCUGCCAAGCGAGACGCAGCAAAGUCUGUUGACAAUGCAUUAAAGUAUGAUGCCAUCUCUCGGAAAGCAGCUGGUACAAGUUCUUCUACCUCCCCCAAUAGGAAAGAAGGCACCACUGAUGCUGCUAAGAUGUUCACCAAGAAGGCUGAAACCGCUACCACACCUGAAGAGGCCGCGAAUGCCAAGCAAGCUGCAGCCAAGUCUACCGCUGCUACAUCAAAGUAUGGUGUCAUUUCUCAGCAAGUAGCUGGUACAAGUUCUUCUACCUCCCCUAGCAGGAAAGAAGCUGCCGGUACCUUGGCAGAUGCUCACAUAGCUACUGCCGAGAAGUCCAUCAAGAAGGCUGAAACCGCCACCAGACCUGAAGAGGCAGCAUCCGCUAAGAAGGAUGCCGCGAAAUCUGAGGCUAAUGCAAUGCAGUACGGGGCCAUCUCUCAGCAGGCCACCGGCAAAAAUGGUGCCUAAGUGGUGCCUUAAACACCUAUUCACGCGCAACAUCAUCUACAUACUACCAUGCACGCAAAAUAGCAGCAUUGAGAUACCACGUUAUGCUAAUUCUCAUGCAUGCAUGCUUUGUUUAAACGUUCACAUUAUGAAUCAUGUAUUAAUGUCUUGCUUGUUUUAUUUUUAGUAGUAAGACACGCUUGACUUGCUUUAAAAAAAAUACAACAAUCGAUGUAUACAUGUAUCAUCUGAAAAUUAAUAAUAUGAGUUCCACCACAAUUUGUGUCUUUUUGUCAUAUUUUGGGUGCAAUCAAUGCACACAUCCAAUACACAAAAUUGGACGAGUCAAUGUGUUAUGGCUCCAUGGAGCGGCGAAUCAUGUUUUAUUGUCUUGCUUGUUUUACUUUUAGUAGUAACUAG
rnacentral:lncRNA from 1 species